AUCAAUUAAGUUGUUUAUAUUAUAAGAGAGUCUUUUCUCUCUCUUUGCUCUACCAUCUCUCUAGAAACCUCUUAGAUCUGAAAAUCGUUUUCGGUGACCGGUGGUUUUAUCGCCGCCGGUUACCAAUCUCUUUUUGUUUUUUGAUGUAAAAUACUUACUCGAUCUAUAGAUCGAUUUGUUUGCUUCGCUUUGGCGAAUUUUCACUUCGCGUUGGCGAUUUCUCUUUUCGCGUUUGGCGAGCUUUUGAGGUGUUAAUCCCAAUCAAAUCGGAACUGAUUAUCACUCUUAUGUUUCUUUCCGAUAUUUAUUGAGUAUAUAUAAAGAUCCCCCCUUUCACAACUAAUAUUAAUCCCGUUUGCUUUUGAGCUGGGUUCUCUCCUUCUGUGGUUUGCUCAGAUCCCUUUUCUACGGGUGUAAAGCUCACUCUUUUAAAGCUAUUUCUUAGCAUAUGAGUGACGUAUCACGUAUGAAAGGAAUGAUGGAGAUGUUGGUUUAUCUUGAUCGUUGUAUGAGGGAUUUAGUAGAGUUGGCAUCUUUCUUGACUGAAGAUGGUCCAAUAAAAAAUCUACUCUAAUUCGAUUAAGUUUUCCAUGUGGUCAAAUAACCAGAGAUUGUUGGGGUCUCAACUUGGAGCAACGGUUAUGGUGGAAGGGUAAGCUUAGAAAGUACAAUCCAUGGCAACAAUCGACGUGUUUGAACAAGAGAAAGAAAGCUCCGCCGGUGAGAAGACGGUUGGACGUCAUCGGAAACAUGAAGUAUGCCGGAGAAGCUGGAAUUUUCAAGAUGGAAGUCUCUUUGUUGACACGUGUUCUUGUUGUAAUAUAGUGUUUACACGUACCCUCUCUAUAAUGUGCGUGUUGCCUUAAUAUUGUACUCAUCUAAACUUAUGGGAAUUAAUAAAAUCUAAGGUUGACAAAAAAAAAAGAGUUGUUUAUAUUAUUCGGAAAACCAGUGCAAAUAACGCGUUUUUUUUGUUUUGAAAUAAUAUUCGAAUAAGA
rnacentral:lncRNA from 1 species